GAUUCUGGCUCAGGAUGAACGCUAGCUACAGGCUUAACACAUGCAAGUCGAGGGGAAACGAUAGAGAAAGCUUGCUUUUUCUAGGCGUCGACCGGCGCACGGGUGAGUAACGCGUAUCCAACCUGCCCAUCACUUGGGGAUAACCUUGCGAAAGUAAGACUAAUACCCAAUGACGUCUCUAGAAGACAUCUGAAAGAGAUUAAAGAUUUAUCGGUGAUGGAUGGGGAUGCGUCUGAUUAGCUUGUUGGCGGGGUAACGGCCCACCAAGGCGACGAUCAGUAGGGGUUCUGAGAGGAAGGUCCCCCACAUUGGAACUGAGACACGGUCCAAACUCCUACGGGAGGCAGCAGUGAGGAAUAUUGGUCAAUGGACGAGAGUCUGAACCAGCCAAGUAGCGUGCAGGAUGACGGCCCUAUGGGUUGUAAACUGCUUUUAUAAGGGAAUAAAGUGAGUCUCGUGAGACUUUUUGCAUGUACCUUAUGAAUAAGGACCGGCUAAUUCCGUG
rnacentral:rRNA from 1 species